AACGUACAAUGAUGAUGUUGAAAACUUUUACUUGCUGACGUUUCAGACUGUCCGUCGGGCUAUGUUGGUGACUUUUUGGACUUGAAGUGCCGGUAUCCAAGUUUUGGUACGGAAUGUCAGAAUAAAUGUUUGUGCUAACAGGAGAAGUGUGAUCCAGCGACUGGAUUCUAAGGUAUUGUCAUGGACGUGGUAACAACACCUGCUGCAACGUCCAGGAUGACCCGUGAUAUUUCCGUAUCACUAAGACAUGAGGCUGACAUUGACCUUCAACUGUUCUAUCAAUGACUACAAUCUCAGUACAAUCUCACAGAAAACUGAUCAAGAUGUAGGGCUCAAGACGGGUGUGAUCCGUUGACAGGAGAUCCAUACUCCUCCUCAGGUUACAGAAAACGUGUUCAUAACAUUGUAUUCCUGUUGUAAGGACGUUAUCAGAAAACAUUACUAACAAAACAUUUUAAAAAUGUUAUAAUAGCAUUAUUUCCCAGUUGUGAAAAUAUUAUAAGCAAACGUUUUUAACCAAACAUUUGUCAGUGUUUUAGAAUAAUUUUGUGAUCGUUAUAAAAACAUUGUAAAACAUUGUUGAAAAUGUUAGGAUCAUUUUUCUUAUAAACAUUUGAAAAUACGUUUUCAAAAC